AGCAGCUAGCAGCCAGGAGACAGAUAACAUGACCUUACCCACAGCACAGAUCCACACAAAGCUAGGGUGAGCUUCCUCCCACUGAGUAAGGGGGCAUGACUUUUCUGGUUAUACCAGAGGUUAACAAUUAGUUAUUUCUGUGAGGUGUUACUUUGGAACUUUAAGUGCGCAAUCACAUGUAACAUGUCCAUGUUUUCUACAUUCCUGGUAAUCGCCCAGAAUUAGAAUCACCCACAACUGCUUUGGCCUGGAUCAGACUUAUAAGCCUUCAGAAGCAUACAUACAAGAUGAUAUUGAGUACUGCCCUGGGAACAUAGAAGCACAUCGAUGAUGUUCACUACAUGUUGGUUCCCAGUGAAGAUAAAAGUCAGCCCUUAGAAAAUAUACUAUUGAAGUGGCAAUCAAUGGAUAAUUGACAUCAGGUGAGAAGAGGAAGGAGACUUCUGAUCCAUCUCCUACUGCUCAUGUUCUCUGAAGGAAGGCUGCUACAAUCCAGCCUGGCACUAAGUUAACUUCCAUCUUCUGCUGAUAGGUUGAUCUCCUGCCUCUCAGUUUUUGAAGUGCAAUACCACCUUCCCUCUGCCUGUCCCCUGAAGAAGGAAGAAAUGGGGUUUUGUUUCCUGAAAGUUUGAUACGGAGCUACAGAGGUGACAAAAGAUUGGCCCUAUGCCCUGGAAAUUAACUGGCUGACUAUUAGAUCAACGUCAAAUAAGGUUCAUCUUGAAGAUGGGGGACAGUACCUCAGGGAUUCCAGAUACAUUAGCAAAGCAAGCAGCAAAGCACCUAGAGAGAGAGAAAAGCAGAGAAAGAAGAGCAUCACUCUGAAAUCAGGGAUUUUCUCAAGGAAUUCCCAAUCAGGAUCCAAGUGUCACGUGCACCUGAACCCAAGAGAAGAAAUCAACCCCCCCACACCCACAUCAUUCCCCAGAAAGAAUUUACCAAUGGAAGAAGGAGACUGGCAUGGCAGAAGAAUAUGGUAGAUUGAAAAGGCUACAAAAUGGAGGAUUAAUGUUCCAGGUGAAGAGUCUCCAGAUUUUGAUGGAAAUUCUAAGGAAAGACUCCAGCUGAAAGGUAGUGUGAAGUCUGGAAAGUGAGAAGCAGUAAA